ensembl:lncRNA
GGAAAUUCCACUUCUGCCAUGUGUACGCAAUGGUUUUGAUAACAGUAAAUGGACAUUAACCUUGCCAUAAACAUGUUAUCUGAGUAGCUUAGAGGAACCUUCAUAUGCCAGUCAUACUCUUUGUAUGUCUUGCUUAGUAGCUACUUCACAUGUUCACUUGUAUCUAGAGAUGUAUGGAUGAUCGCACCGGUUUCAAAUCACAGCAUUCUCCCACUACAGAAAUUCAUGAGCUUAGCAGCAUGGGAUAAAGUACACUGAGUCAGCAGCGGUGAAAGUAUUUAAGGGCUGGGUGCAUCAGACAAACUUACAGAUGAACUUCCUGAAAUAAGAGAGAAGACUCCUACUAUCCCCUAAGAGAUUCUGAGUUAAGAUGAAACCCCAAGUUAUAAUCUUUAUUUACUUAGGAGGACUCAUAUUACACUUCGUGAAAUGUUACAGCAGUGGCAAUUUUGACGCUUAUCCAGCUAUAUGUCAGACAAUGGAAGUUGUUCACAGCACCUAUCUACCUCAGAACACUGAACCACCUUUUAAAGUUAUCCCAGAUAUGAUCAGAGUUAAUUCUUCAGAUGUGGGAAAAUCCUUUAAUGGAUACAGCUGUAACGCAAACAAAUAACCGAAAAAAGGCUGAAAUAAUGGUCAAAUGGAAUGUUUCUGAAACCGGAGAUUAUUUUUUCAGGGCUACAUUCGUUAAGACAUAUGAAAUAUUCUGGAUCAUAAGAAAUCUCUUCUUCAAUCACGACACCAUCCUUUACAACAGACCUUGUAACAUCAGACCCUGUAACAUCAGACCUUGUAACACCAGGCCCAGUAACACCAGAUCCUGUAACACCAGACCCUGUAACACCAGGCCCAGUAACACCAGACCCUGUAACACCAGACCCUGUAACAACAACCACCAUAACAAUAUCAACAUCAGCAAAAUUAUCCUCAGUCACCAAAACUGAUCCACCGCACAAAUAUUUGGUUGAAUCAUCGCUAACUCUACAUUUGCUCAGUUAUCUUUGUCUUGCUGUGUGUGGUCCUUUCCUAGCGAAAGCCUGUGUAUGUGUUUGGACAAAGGUGACAUCAUUUCUGUCUUUGGCAUUUUCAUUGGCUGCUUUCAUCCUCUUACUGAUAGACAACAAACAAGUUGAGGCUGAAAUUCUGGCAGGAGUAGCAGCAGGCCUCAACUUGUGUCAAACCAUUCUAAUAUUCUUUCUCUGUGGACCGUGCCAUGAAUUAAGAAAGAUUUUCUACUGGGGGCUCAGAUUGGUUGCAUUCAUAAACGUUUGUUUUACAAUUGCUACAAUAUAUGUUGGUCUUGUGGAGCACUGCUCCAAACCACGCCGCUUCUGGCCCGUCAUAUUGAUGGGAGUUUAUUUAGCAUGCCAAUUGCUGUCAUGUCCCUUUUUUAUAUAUGGGGAACUAAAAGAAAAGCAGCAACGACAAACUACAUCAAGCAAUCAGAAUUGCAGGGUUUCUUGCUGGUGUACGUGUUUGGUCAUUUUUACUGGGAUGAAUUUAGCAUUUACUGUAGCACUGGUAUUAGGAAUAUUUUUAUCAUUGUAUGUUUGAUACCUAAAGAAACAAAAGCCUUGAUAUUUUCAUUAUGUGAUGAUGUUUUACUUAUAUUUAACUUUUCUACAUCAAUAAUUUCAAGCAGUCCAUGUAAUAUGUAUAUACUGUAUGUUGGCUUUCUGAUAUUUGGUUCUGAAUGUUUCUUUUCACUACGUAUAUCAUAUAUUCCUGUAACCAAUGCUUAUGAUCAAUGUAGAAUUUGUAUUUGUAGAGAAAUGUCUAUAUUUAUUGUGAAAAGAGGAAACCUACAAUCCCCUCUGAAAUUAUUGAAAUGGCAAAGCCAAUUUUAUACACUGAAGAUAAUUUUAUACACCAAUAUAAUUUCCUGAUAUGUACAUCUAGAUGUGUUAAACAAUUUAAGCACCUUCAAUAUUGGAACAUGUGACUGAUAGGAGUUUCUUCUUGCCCAUAUGUGUCCUGUUAAAUUGAUUGUUAAAACAGUUAAUAGCUCUUAAUGUCUACUCUUGGUUUGAUCCCUGGGUUUUUCCUGUGAAGACCGCAUUUGUUGUUAAAAAGUAUAAACCAACAUGAAGACAAGAAAGCUGUCUAUGGGAGAAAAGAAAGCCAUUUUGAAACUGUGAAAAGAGGAAAAAAUCUAUCAGAGCCAUUUCAGAAGCAUUGGGUAUAGCCAAUAUAGCAAUUUGGAGUGUCCUGAAAAUGAAAAAAAUAUCCCUGAUGUACAGUGUAACAACCAGAGAUCAAACAGUUUGCCAAGGAAAACAGCAGCAGUUGUUGACAGAAUAAUUGUGAGAGCUGUAAAGAAGAACCCCAAAACAGCAGUCAGUGACAUCACAAACAACCUCCACAGGGCAGAAGUGACGGUAGCACAAUCCACCGUUUGAAGAAGACUUUGAGAGCAGAAAUAUAGAGGCCAUACCAGAAGAUGCAAACCACUCAUCAGCAGUAAGAAUCGGAAAGCCAGAUUGGAAUUUGCAAAGAAAUACAGAGAUGAGUCACAAAUGUUAACCUCAACCAAAGUGAUGGAAAGGCCAAAGUAUGGAGAAAGAAAGGUUCUGCUCAUGCUCCAAAACAUACAAGCUCAUCUGUCAAACAUGGCGGAGGUAGUGUCAUGGCUUGGGCUUGCAUGGCUGCUUCUGGUACAGACCCACUAAUAUUUAUUGAUGAUGUAACUCAUGAUGGAAGCAGCAGAAUGAAUUCAGAAGUUUACAGGAACAUUUUGUCUGCCAAUUUGUAGAGCAAUGCAUCCAAUCUAAUUUGGAGGAACUUCAUCAGGCAGUGACAAUGACCCAAAACACACUGCCAACUCCACAAAGUACUUUAUCAAGGGGAAAAAGUGAAAGGUUUUAUACUGGACAACUCAAUCACCAGAACAUAACCCAAUUGAGCAUACAUUUGACCUCCUGAAGAGGACACUGAAAGGAGAAACCCCCCCAAAACAAAUAACAACUGAAAGAAGCUGGGGUAAAAGCCUGGAAAAGCAUCACACAAGAAGAAUGCAACAGUUUGGUGAUGUCAGUGGGUCGCCAACUUGAUGCAGUUAAUGCAAGCAAGGGAUAUGCAACCAAAUAUUAAGUAUUAUUUACUUUACUUUAAAUAUGUUUGAAUUGAUCUGUUCCAAUACUGUAGCUCACUUAAAAAAUGGGUGGCCUGCAAUCAAAGGUGGCAUUUUCUAUGUUGUUUAGCACAUCUAUUUGUAAAUAUUAUGACAUACAACCUGAAAUUCUGAUCUAUUGUCUCAUAUUCAUCUGCUGAUCUCAAACCCAAAUGCCUUUAGUGUAUAGAUUGGCCUUGCCUUUCCAAUACUUUUGGAGGGGACUGUAAAUCCCUUAGCAUUCACAACCAUUUGUCCAGUAAACUGGAGAGGCUUCACCAAUUUUUAAUUGUGUUGGUGUCAUUAGGGAAGUUUAAACAGAUAACAGCAAACACUCCUGACAUCUAAUUUAUGAGGAUGGCCUUAAAUAAUAUUUGACAUGAGCCUUUCUUUUAAAAACUCUUAUCAACAAAGCGUGAUAACAUUUUAUUGAUCCUGACCAAAUUACACUGUUCUCUGCACUCAGUCAUGUUGAUGCAUGAUAUUUACAGUUCACUUCACUCUCAGCAAAUGUACAAUAGUGCACUUCAGAUAACUUGUACAGAGCAUACAUUAGUCAUUGGGUGUGACCAUAUUCCUGAUUCCCAUUCCUCUCAUGUGAUAUUUCUCUUUCAGCUGGGAUGAUAUUAGUUUGUUCUGCAAUAAUGUCACACUGCAUAAUUUUAUUGUGCAGGACAUAAAAAUGUAUUUCUUCAAUACACUGGUUUCAAAAUGAUCAGCAGCCCUACAAUUAAUAUAUUGUGAUCACUGCCCUGUCUUCCUGUAAUGUUUAACAAGGUUUGAGAAACUUGUAGAAGGAAUCUUUAUUCAGCUUUAUUUUAAGCUUCUUUACAGUUUUUUUCAUGUGGAAUUUCCUCUUCAAGUCAGACCACAGUAUUUCAAUAGAUUUUACAUCUGGAGACUGAGAUGAUUUUGUUUCUUUAAAAAUUUACAUUGAUUUGAAAGAAUACUUGUUCAUCGUUUUUGUGAAAGUGGCCACGUCACCUCUAUCUAUAGCCUAGUCUAGACUUCCUGGCAGAGGUAACAAGGUUUUGGGCUGAAAUACCAUAGUAGUACUCAUGAUGGCAAGCAACAGUCUUCACAAGAGCCCCUGAACCACCAACCACAAAAAAACCACAAGACUUCAGUCAUCCACCGCCAUAUUUUACACUGGGAUAUCAGGUGCUUCUUCUUGUAUGCUAUCCCCUUUAGUCUCCAAACACGCUGAUAAUGUUUAUGACCAAAAUGUUUAAUGAGAUGUAUAUUAAUAAUUUUGGCACAUAUUUGUGAGAGAACAUGCUAUUGUUAAUAAAACUAACUCAACUGAGUUUUUUUUCUUUUUAUUUGAAUUAUUGUGUAAUGGGCACUGCACUGCAUAAACGAUGUAUCUUAUCUUAUGUCUUUCGGAAGUAAUUGGUAUUACGGGUCCUUUGGUUAAAUUUUUAACAUCCAGAUCCAGUAGGUUUAUUGCACAUACAAUCAGAUUUUGAUUGUAUGUGCAACAAACCUACAACCUCAGAUUUUUAGCAAUCAUUGUACAACUGCACAAUCCCAAUGGUACUCUCUUAGAAAGUCAGUAAAAUAUCU